UUGGCUGAUCAUAUGGUGGGGAAUGUUUAUGUUCAAUUUAGAGAGGAAGAACAUGUUGCUAAUGCUCUUAAGAAUUUGACGGGAAGGUUUUAUGCAGGGCGUCCUACAUUAUUGUUGAUUUCUCUCUUGUGACGGAUUUUCGUGAAGCUACCUGUAGGCAGUAUGAAGAGAAUACUUGUAAUCGAGGUGGAUAUUAUAACUUUAUGCAUUUGAAGAAGAUUAGCAGGGAAUUGAGGCGGCAAUUAUUUGGUAGGUAUCGUUCAAGGCAUAGCCACAGUAGAAGCAUAAGCUGCAGUCCUCACAGGCAUCGAAGUUAUGAAGAGCGUGCAUAUGGUGGUCAUGGUUAUGAUAGAAGGUCUAGUGAUCGG